UCUGUCAGCUUUUGGAUCCAAUCUUUUAUAGAGGAGAUUUCAUUACCCUUCCAUUUUGCUGCAAUCAAAACUCUUGCUGCCGUUGUCGCAUAUAAAAAGAUACCCUUCCUCUUUUGUGGAAUAUCCAGAUCUGUUAUUCCCAGGAGGUAGGCCUCUGGUUUUUUAUUGAAAGAGAUCUUUAGCAUUUUUUGCAGUUCUGCAUGUAUACUCUCCCAGAAUACCUGUAUUUUCCUACAUAUCCACCACAUAUGGUAGAAUGUUCCUGAGUCUCCGCAUCUCCAACAAUUACUUGACACAUUUUUAUACAUUUUUGAAAGUUUCCAUGGUGUUAGAUACCAUCGAUGUUGCAUUUUUGAAAGUUCUCUCUAAUCGUGUAACAAUUUGUGAAUUUCCAAUUGAUCUUCCAUAAAUUUUCCCAUUGGGCCAUGGUUAUUGAAUGGCCAAAAUCCUGGGACCACCUCACCAUUGCCACUGUUACCUCCUCCUCCUUGACUGUCCAGUCAAGGAGGAGUCGAUAAGUUUUGGAAAGAGUUUUUCUUUUAGAAUUUACAAGAUCAGAUUCGAAUCGGGAAAUUUCUGUUGAGAACCCCUUUUGUUUGUCAGAUUUAAAUUUUUCAAAUAACUG